rnacentral:rRNA from 1 species
AUUGAACGCUGGCGGCAUGCUUUACACAUGCAAGUCGAACGGUAGAGGGGCAACCCUUGAGAGUGGCGAACGGGUGAGUAAUGCAUCGGAACGUGCCCAGUAGUGGGGGAUAGCCCGGCGAAAGCCGGAUUAAUACCGCAUACGACCUGAGGGUGAAAGCGGGGGAUCGCAAGACCUCGCGCUAUUGGAGCGGCCGAUGUCAGAUUAGGUAGUUGGUGGGGUAAAGGCCUACCAAGCCGACGAUCUGUAGCUGGUCUGAGAGGACGACCAGCCACACUGUGACUGAGACACGGCCCAGACUCCUACGGGAGGCAGCAGUGGGGAAUUUUGGACAAUGGGCGCAAGCCUGAUCCAGCCAUGCCGCGUGCGGGAAGAAGGCCUUCGGGUUGUAAACCGCUUUUGUCAGGGAAGAAAUCUUCUGGGCUAAUACCCCGGGAGGAUGACGGUACCUGAAGAAUAAGCACCGGCUAACUACGUGCCAGCAGCCGCAGUAACAC